UGUGUUUUUCCAUUGUGUGAUGGUUUUGUUGUGUGUGUUGUGUAGGAUCAUGCACUGGGCUCGUCGCAUUGAACAGGAGAUUGACAGAGUCUUGCAGCACAUCAGCGGCGCUCAACAACUAAAAGGGUUCUACAGUGAGAAGAGAAGACAGUUCAGUCUGGUCAGAAAUAAUCGUUGAGAAAGUUGCGACUGACAUCGAGAGACUGCUGGCAAAGAAACGCAAAGCACUUGAGAAACUUGUGAGUGAAGCAGAGCGUCUUCAGAAAGUCAUCAUUGGCAGGAUGGAAUCAAGGUCAGACGACUUUAACAUCACUAAUUUAUGGUUAUGCAUUUGUGCAAUUUCAUUUUUAACAUUGCUCUUGCACUUGUGAGUGAGUGAUCCGAGUAUGACCAAUGACUCCUGUGUUGAUUCAUUACAACAGUGGUUCCCAAACUUUUUCUGCCGGGCCC